GACGAACGCUGGCGGCGUGCUUAACACAUGCAAGUCGAACGGAAAGGCCCUGCUUUUGUGGGGUGCUCGAGUGGCGAACGGGUGAGUAACACGUGAGUAACCUGCCCUUGACUUUGGGAUAACUUCAGGAAACUGGGGCUAAUACCGGAUAGGAGCUCCUGCUGCAUGGUGGGGGUUGGAAAGUUUCGGCGGUUGGGGAUGGACUCGCGGCUUAUCAGCUUGUUGGUGGGGUAGUGGCUUACCAAGGCUUUGACGGGUAGCCGGCCUGAGAGGGUGGCCGGCCACAUUGGGACUGAGAUACGGCCCAGACUCCUACAGGAGGCAACAGUGGGGAAUAUUGCACAAUGGGCGGAAGCCUGAUGCAGCGACGCCGCGUGCGGGAUGACGGCCUUCGGGUUGUAAACCGCUUUCGCCUGUGACGAAGCGUGAGUGACGGUAAUGGGUAAAGAAGCACCGGCUAACUACGUG
rnacentral:rRNA from 1 species